UUCGUCUCUAUACGUGGCUUCGAGUACAAAGGGUUUAAUUCUUCCUGAAGCGAAAUCCAAGGCAUUGCAGCAGGGAGCCCUGACGCUCUUAAUGUGCUACACACGGAUGGCCAGAUAUGGACCAUCAGUCUGGUUCGACCCACAUUUCAUACAUGGGACCACCUCCUUGAAUACAACUGUCAAUAUCUGGGUCUCGGCAUGGAUGGAUCCAUGAUGCGAAAAUAGCAGUGGUGGUUUGAUGAUCCAAUGGUCUCCGCCAUGACCUUCAGCCGAUGUAAAAUUCAUCUAAAUGGACGGACGGGAGCAGAGCUGGGCCCCACCUAUUUACAACCCUAUUUGCUAUAUGGAACUUGAGGGAGCAGGAUCUCGGAUGCUUCCUGACCUGAAAACCAGGUGUCACAAGACGUACAAUGUAGGGAUCACCUGAUGAACGGUUCAGAUCUCCCUCGUGGGGCGAGCUCGAGUAGUUAUCCUAGCUCGAUAUGAAACUGCACUUCAGAAUAGCAACUACAGUCCUGAUGUGUAAUAAAGUGUAUGGUUUACAGAGCAACUCACUUGGAUAUGGUUCACGGAACAAACACGUUCCAGAUCGUUAUAUGCUAGCCAUCAGAUCUUUGACCUU